GGUUGAAGGUGUGGUCAUCUGGACACCUUUUUUUAUUUUUUAACCCUACCUGUGAUUUGGUACAUUCUAGGUAGGCUUCAUUCAUACUACCAUCCUUUAAACAAAUUAUAUUCAACAAUUGAGGCCUGAAAAGUAAACCUCUCAUGCUACAUAAGUGAUGGGAACAUAAUGCAAUGAAAACAUUGGAGUGUAGUAGCAUUGUAAAUAAAUAAAGGAACAAUAAUAAUGUUUUUGUUAUAGAAAGGUACUAAGAAUGUUUAUCUAUGGGGAGAAAAUGUAUCAAGAGAAAUAGAAAGAUAAAUCUUAAAAGACCUUAUGCUAAUAAUUAAGGACUCAUGUAGAGAAUUUCUCUAAUUGUUUUGCGAUUCUCAUUUCUUUGAUCCUCAUCAAGUGUCAUGAAGGUUCAGAAGGAAAAUGGCAGGAGCUGGACCUCUACAGGCAGUGGCAGAUGGAGGGGGGGCUGGCAGGGGCCCCGGCCCCUGCAAGGAAAUGCCCCUCCCUUGUAAAUAUUUAAUAAAAGUAACUGAAAUUUUUUCUUGGCCCUUCUAAUUUAUAAUUUGACCCCCCUAAAUAUUUUUUCUUGCUCCGCCCCUGUCUACAGGUAGUUGCCCAAACCUAAAGUAGUGAGAAAGGAAUGUUUGUUAUAAAUCCGUGUUCUAUAUGAAAAAUAUAAAAAGCAAAAUAAAGACAAAUCGAUGGAUUAAAACAUGGAAAAAUGUUAGCAAUAGAAAAUAAAGGCCGAAGAUAAUGCUCUUACCAGUUAGCAUUCUAGAACCCUUCCUCAUUGUCAGGAUAUGUGCAAAGUCAACAAAGUUGAAAAACUAUCUUGCGAUAGACGGUUUAAGAGGACAUUAGACCUUAGAUCAAUAACAACUUCAUGGUCGACAACUAUGUGUGGGUACUUGUUCUAAGAGGUAUAAAAGCCUCUGGUCUCGAAGUGAUCGCCAUCAAUGAUGUUUGAUCCAAGAUGCUGAAUAUCUCUAGCACGCCCGGAUCCUACAACGGAAGCAAAAACGAAGAAAGAUACAAGUCCAAUUGAUUAAGGUUUUAUUACACAUAAAGUUUGGAAGCUAGUGAAAGAAAAUAUAGCAGAUGAGAGCAAAUGAUUUCAAAAAAGCCGUCGUUCAUAAAUGUCAAGUGAAAAGAGCAAACCUGAGCAUCAACAAAUAAGCAAUUAAAGCUGCUAGGUUGGUCAGGGAUCCAUACACGGCAGGCAUGAACUUCUUGAUGUCCUUAAUCACAAAUGUCAUUGUGCUGCAAAAUAAAAAGAUGCAAGGGAAAGAGAGACAAGAAUAGAGUGAACUAAGAGGGCUAGCUGAAUUUAAAAAGACAGUAAGGCUAUUUUGGCCACUCUUACAAACAAAAAUGAACCAAAUAAGAGACAAUAAAGCUUAAGCAAAAGAUCUAUUGUCCACUUGAAAGAAUUGAUUAUGUUUAAACAUAUGUCAUUCAUUAAUGUAAUUUAUCCAUGAAUGGAAGAUCUUCUGCUAGAAAACAUAUGAGCAGUGUUGUAUAUUUAUUUCCUUAUGAGAGAUUAGAUGAGUAAUUAUAUGUGGAAAGAGACAGUGUAAUAGGUGUUGGACAUGCAUGGAUCUUCACUAUUUAAAGUCUAGAUAUAUGUAAGUGUGAUUGAUUGUGCUUAUAAAGAUGAUGAAUAUACAUAACAGUAGGAGAAUGAAUGAUAUCCAACAGAGGCAGAAUUACGCUAGCAUCUUUCUUUUAGGACUUUAUUUAGGAGACCAUGCAUGGUUGGAGAAUGUAGAAAUCUGCAACUGAAAUCUAUUUCCUUGCUUUGGUCUGGAGUGGCACAAAAUUAUAGACAUGUUUGUUUUAACCAUGGAUCAUGGAUUUGUUGGACUGCUUUGAUAUUUGUG
rnacentral:lncRNA from 1 species